rnacentral:misc_RNA from 1 species
CUGGAUAAGCACCCAUACACGCUGCCCAAACUUCUCCCCUGAAGGCAAGGCCAUCCUCCAGAAGGAGAUGUACCUGCCAGGAAGCUUAGGAGCUCUAAAAUCAACUGCCACAUCAAAUUCAUGGUCUACAGCCAAGCCAAACGAAGGAAUCUGUAAUUCAACAGAAACAGCAUCACCUAAUCGAUCUCCCCCAAUCCAAACAAGUUGUGUUCCUUGUGGCCAGAAAAUAUUACCAUUGUUCCUCAUCCUCCAGACCUUGGUAAAUGGAGUCGAUGGAGCCAUCAUAGUACCAUCAAGUACAUUGACAUCAUGUUUGAAGCGGCUGUCCAGCUUAGGCGAUUUUACACCGCAGCCUCGAAAGAUGUCAUGAGGUUCAUGUAAAGCCUUGAAAGCUAUGGGAUGAUGGUAAGAAACAGGACGAUCCAUUCUGACGUAAUCAGCAUCAAUUCCCAUUUGUGCAAAGCAUAUGCUGCAGAGAUCAUAGUCCUCCUUUACUUUAGAUUUGAACCUAGGUCCAGUUAUUGGAUGAACCCCACAACCAUCACAG